CUUUAAAGUCCAAUGCAUUACCACUGUCUGUCAUGAUGUGUGUGAAGUGUGGACCCAAAUGUAGCAGGCAGGAGACGUCAAAGUUCUGUUGUAGAUUUAAUUAAAAAUCAGACUUACAAAA